ACUUCGCGAAAGCGAGGCUAAUACUGAAUAAUAUCCUGUUGUUGCAUGAUGACGGGAUCAAAGGUGGCUCGUAAGGGCUGCCGCCAAAGGACGAGCCCGCGACCUAUCAGCUAGUUGGUGAGGUAAUGGCUCACCAAGGCUUUUGACGGGUAGCUGGUCUGAGAGGAUGGUCAGCAACACUGGGACUGAGACACUGCCCAGACUUCUACGGGAGGCUGCAGUCGAGGAUCUUUAUCAAUGCCCGAAAGGGUGAAUAUGCGACGCCGCGUGCAGGAUGAAGGCUUUCGGGUCGUAAACUGCUGUCAGGGGUGAGGAAAAGGUGCGUAUGAAUAAUGCGUAUCUUUGACGUUAACCCCAAAGGAAGCCACGGCUAACUCUGUGCCAGCAGCCGCGGUAAUACAGAGGUGGCGAGCGUUGUUCGGAAUCAUUGGGUGUAAAGGGCAGGUAGGUGGUUGAAUAAGUCUGUCGGGAAAUCCCAGGGCUCAACCCUGGAACUGCGAUGGAAACUGUUCGACUUGAGUGCCGGAGAGGUGAGGGGAAUUCUCGGUGUAAGGGUGAAAUCUGUAGAUAUCGAGAGGAACACCAGUGGCGAAGGCGCCUCACUGGACGGCAACUGACACUGAGCUGCGAAAGCUAGGGUAGCAAACAGGAUUAGAUACCCUGGUAGUCCUAGCUGUAAACGAUGUGGAUUAGGUGUUGGGAGAGUUGAUCCUCUCAGCGCCGCCGUUAACACAAUAAAUCCACCACCUGGGGAGUACGGUCGCAAGACUGAAACUCAAAGGAAUUGACGGGGACCCGCACAAGCGGUGGAGCAUGUGGUUUAAUUCGAGGCUACACGAGGAACCUUACCUGGGCUUGACAUGAUAACAGUAGCCCUGAUGAAAGUCGGGGUGAUCGUGACCAAUCGAAGGUUAUCACAGGUGCUGCAUGGCUGUCGUCAGCUCGUGCUGUGAAGUGUUGGGUUAAGUCCCGCAACGAGCGCAACCAUUGCCCUUAGUUGCCAGCGGGUUAUGCCGGGAACUCUAAGGGGACUGCCAGUGAUAAACUGGAGGGAGGUGGAGAUGAUGUCAAGUCAGCAUGGCCCUUACGCCCAGGGCUACACACGUGCUACAAUGGCUGGUACAAUGGGCUGCAAAUCCGCGAGGAAGAGCUAAUCCCAAAAAGCCAGCCCCAGUUCGGAUUGCAGGCUGCAAUUCGCCUGCAUGAAGUUGGAAUCGCUAGUAAUGGCGCAUCAGACAUGGCGCCGUGAAUACGUUCCCGGGUCUUGUACACACCGCCCGUCAAGCCACCUGAAUCGGGAGUACCCGAAGUCGCUGUUCUAACCCGCAAGGGAGGAAGGCGCCGAAGGUAAAUCCGGUGAGGAGGGCUAAGUCGUAACAAGGUA
rnacentral:rRNA from 1 species